GGCUGCAUUCCCGGGAAGGAGUGGCCUCCAGCGCAGGGAGAGUGAAGGCCCAGGAGGCAGCGGGGCCAGGGGCCAAGUGUGAAAGUGGGGAGCUGCCGGCACCCUGAGCUGCACGGGACCCCAGGUCUUCAGUCCACACUCUUCUCAUUGGUGUCCUGGGACCACGUGAUGAUGCUGCCGUGGCUUCUCAUCUUUUCAGCUCUCGGUCUCCUGGCCUGGGGGGAGUCUGAACGGUUCUCCUGGAGUGAAACCCAAGCGAGAGACGUGUCAGAGCAGCUUUUGGACCUGUUUGUUGGCAUCUCACAGCUCAC